rnacentral:rRNA from 1 species
UCGAGCGGAAAGGCCACUUUCGGUGGUACUCGAGCGGCGAACGGGUGACCUCAUUUGAAGUAAUCUGCCCUUGGCUUUGGGAUAGCCACCGGAAACGGUGAUUAAUACCGGAUAUGACCACUACACGCAUGUGUGGGUGGUGGAAAGUUUUUCGGCCAGGGAUGUGCUCGCGGCCUAUCAGCUUGAUGGUGAGGUAAUGGCUCACCAUGGCUUCGACGGGUAGCCGGCCUGAGAGGGUGACCGGUCACACUGGGACUGAGACACGGCCCAGACUCCUACGGGAGGCAGCAGUGGGGAAUAUUGGACAAUGGGCGGAAGCCUGAUCCAGCAACGGCGCGUGAGGGAUGACGGCCUUCGGGUUGUAAACCUCUUUCAGCAGGGACGAAGCGUGAGUGACGGUACCUGCAAAAGAAGCACCGGCCAACUACGUGCCAGCAGCCGCGGUAAUA